AAAUUGAAGAGUUUGAUCAUGGCUCAGAUUGAACGCUGGCGGCAGGCCUAACACAUGCAAGUCGAGCGGUAGCACAGAGAGCUUGCUCUCGGGUGACGAGCGGCGGACGGGUGAGUAAUGUCUGGGAAACUGCCUGAUGGAGGGGGAUAACUACUGGAAACGGUAGCUAAUACCGCAUAAUGUCGCAAGACCAAAGUGGGGGACCUUCGGGCCUCAUGCCAUCAGAUGUGCCCAGAUGGGAUUAGCUAGUAGGUGGGGUAACGGCUCACCUAGGCGACGAUCCCUAGCUGGUCUGAGAGGAUGACCAGCCACACUGGAACUGAGACACGGUCCAGACUCCUACGGGAGGCAGCAGUGGGGAAUAUUGCACAAUGGGCGCAAGCCUGAUGCAGCCAUGCCGCGUGUGUGAAGAAGGCCUUCGGGUUGUAAAGCACUUUCAGCGGGGAGGAAGGCGGUGAGGUUAAUAACCUCACCGAUUGACGUUACCCGCAGAAGAAGCACCGGCUAACUCCGUGCCAGCAGCCGCGG
rnacentral:rRNA from 1 species